UCCCUAACCAAGAUGGCCACCGAACCUACUACUACGAAUGCAUAGUGCCAUCUAGUCACAAUGUUAGAGUGCCACAGUGGAAGACGGACUCCAGGGAGACCCUGUGACAACCGCUUAUUGGGGGUCAUUCCGAGUUGUUUGCUCGUUGCCGAUUUUCGCAACAGAACGAUUAAGGCGAAAAUGCACAUGGUGGAUUGCUGUAACGAAGCAUGACGGAUCCCCCAUCCGGCCUUCAGUCAUCUCAGAUAUGCCCAGAAGGGGCUGAAAUAAAUUGUCACUAAUUAGCCUUUUUGUCUGGGUCCGAUAAUAGCGAACUCUUACGUGUCUGUGUCAGAUAGCCGCUUUAUCUGGAAUGACAAUUAUUUUAUAAUUAUUUCACGUGAUUUUCAAUGUUACUGUUUAACAUGAUUUAUACAAUUUGUCAGAUCAUUGUAGGAUUAGUAGAUUGUGUGAUUCACUUCAAGGUAAUAAUUGUCAGUACACAUUAUUGCGUUGCGUUUUGUAGUCAAGAGUUUAAGUUCAUUUUAAUGGGGCAACAUUGCCCCCUAAAGACAGAAAGCUGCAUUGCAACAGAACAUUAUGACACAAGUGGCAGGGCUACAAUUGAAAAAGGAAAUCCCUUUUGCAUGCUGUCCUUGUAUAUAGUCCUUGCCAACAUUGAUCUGAUUCCAUUAGAAUGUGUGUAGGGACUUUGCUGCUCUAUAUAUUUAUCGAACUUGUGGGUUGAAAUGAUGUAAAUAUGUAUUUUUGUUAACUUGUCUUUAACAUCUAAUGUACAUACCGUAUGUCAUCUUUUUCUAUCUCUUAUGUAUGAAACUCUAGCGGCACCAUAUAAAUAAAAUAUAAUAAUAACUUUUAAUUAGUAUAAA